ACUGGAUUUCUAUGGACCCUGACUACAGUCCUUGGAAGGAGAAGAAAUUGAAAUGGAAUUUUGCACCCACCUGGAGAGGCCUCUGGAUACAACCCUAGAUUUUAAAGCCAGCAGGUGAUUAUUUUUAUAGUAAAUCUAUAUUACUGCCUAGUGGAGAUGAUCGCAAAACUAGUCCAACAUAUUGUCUGCUAAAUGCAGUGACAGCUGGCUGCACCUUCCCUGCCAACAAUGAAACAAUUGCAGUGGUCCCCAUUGUUGUCACUUGCACAUGUGGGAUGAAAUCCUGGCCCUGUUGACCUCAAUUGCAAAACUCCCAGGGAAGUAUGGGCUUCACCCAUAAUAUAGUGUCACCAAUGUUCUUUAGAAACGCAGCAGGGAUUUCAGAAGCAGAUGCCUUUCUCUGCGGCAGUUUCUUCGGAAGCACCCAAACUAUGCUGUUGUGUUUCUCUGGCAAUGCUCUUCCACAGAGAUCUUUCCUCACAGGAUGCAGGACAUUUUUCCAUAUGUGAGUCGCACCAUAACGUGUUGCUGAGGGAUUGCAACAUGGAGGUGGUAGGAAAUCCAAUGAGGAAUUCUUCCAGAGUAAGAACCAGUAGCAACCCUAGCCUCCAGAGAAAAGAAAUGCUCAUCCUUCACGUCUCUGCCAGCCAAAAGGGCUGUGUUUUAAGUCUUACACAGGAUGGGCCCUGUUAUUGCUGUCAGACAUGUCUGGGGAUAGACUCUUUGCCUUAUAGGAGUACUGGUUAAGGUGCCUUUCUAACUGAAGUGUGCAGCAAGAUGGUCUGCCCCCUUAAGGACACCAUGCAUGUGAAGUCAUGCUGGCGGGGACAGGCCAGAGUGAUCUUCAGAAUGACAUCCCCCGUCCAAUACCAGACCAAACCAUGUGUGAUUCUGUGUCAGUACAGGAUGGGGGACAAACCCUAGAGAAGCCGCACUGUGUGGCUUAAAACCGGAUGAAUGGCCUGCCUAGAGAGGGGAAUAGAGUGAGAGGCUCUGGGCCCCUGCAGCCUGUGUUGGUCAGGGAAAUUGCUUUGUUUUGUGUUAAUUUGCAAGUUUUUGUUCAAAUCAAUAAACUGUGACCUGAAGGAAAGGACCAAGAAGAGAUCUGGGCUGGGGAAAGAGGCCAGUAGCUGUAAGGCAUGUAAACAUUUGCAAUGAAAGGGGAAACUACUCAAAAUGAGAGGGUUUUCACUUCUUAUUUUGUUCCAGGCUGAAACAUGGAUUUAUUUCUCUUACAAAAUUGCCAGGUUUGGUACUUUAUUUUUUUAAGUGAGCCCAUUUUCCAGUGGAAAAAAGAGCUCAUUUCUGAGCAAAACUUGGCCAGAAAUUAAUUCAGAGUGUACAAUUUUUGUAUGUUUUCACUGUGGAAAGAUAGCCAUUAAUUUUGACCCAAAAAGUACAUCUCGAGAGCACAGAACAGGCUGAUGGGAACUGACAGAACUUCUGCAGGUGAAAGCAUUGAUGUGAAGCUUUUUUUUUUUUUUUUUUUUUUUUUUUUGGAGGUAUAACUGCCAGAUUCACCCUUCUCUAUUUCCAUAAUGCGCCCCCAGCCCUCCUGGACCUACUCACUUGAUAUGUAAUACUGGGAGCUGGCUAAUUGAGCAGCAUAAUCCUUGCACUUCCAUGCCACCAAGCUGACCCUAAUCCAGGCUGGUAGUGACCAGUCAAGGGCUUGAUCAGGAAGAAUGCUGAGCAUUCUAGCACUAAUCCAGCAAAGCACUUGAGCACAUGAGCCGUCCCAUUGAACACCAGCAUGUGCUUAAGUGCUUUGCUGGAUCAGGGUCAAGGUGCUCAGCACCUUGCAGGAGCAAGCCCUAAGAAGGCUUCAGGUCUAGUACCGUCGUUGAGGAGAUAGAGCUGAGAAAUGGUGUAUGACUCUCAAAAAUUGGGCUGGGAGUUUUGCCAUUGACUUCAGUAGAACCACAAUGUUAUCCCUCCCCCAGUGCCUUCUGAGGGCUUGUCUUCUGAGGGGAAGAUCUACCGCUAUAGUUAAACCACUAUAGUUAUACCUGUAUAACUUCCAGGGCAGACACUCGAAUUCUGGAAUCAGAGUGCCUUUUUCCAGCAGUUGCACUGCUUCCCAUGUGACAUAAACUAAACAAAAAUAAAGAAACAAACCAACCAAAAAAAGCCCACUCUGCUCAGAACCAGAGUGCCCAUAACCCACAUGCUUUAUACUGCAGCAUUUCACUUUGUUCAGCCCAAAGAAAGGGAGAGAAGCUGUGGGAAGGAGACAUGGCUUUUAGUUAGAAUAUCCUGUGUCUGUGCAGAGUAAUGCAACUCAGUCAGGAGGCCCAGAAACAUCUAGAAAUAGGGUGGGGCAGUUACUAAACAAGCUCAUUGGCUGUUUCUGAAGCUGUAUAGACAGCUGUCUGUCAGGUCACAGCCAAUCACCUUCAGGGAGCUGAGCCAAUCAGAGUGUAAGUGGGUGGGGGUAAGAGUUAUAAAUAUAGGGCUUAGACAGCCUUGGGAUGCUGACAGAUUGAAGUAGGACCAGGAGUAGUGUGUUUUGGGAGGGCUGGAUCCCACUUUGGAUACAGAUCAAAGAGGUGCCCAUCCCUGGAGAAAAGAAGGAAGAGUCUGUUAGGUCAUGGUGCCUCCAAGACAAGUCACUUCACUUUGAUGCCCUUUGCCAUAUGGGAAAUUGGGCAAUGAUGUCUCUACCACAGCUUCUGCUCAACUCUCUGUCUCUGACGUUGCUCUGCUACUGUUACUUUCAGGAUGCUCUGUUGAAAAAGAAUAAAGUCAAGUGCAUUGUGGUGUUUUGGGUGCAGCUAUAAAUUCUCUUCAGGUUGGAUCUGGCACAAAUUGAUUUCGACUGCACCUGGUUCAAAGGGUUCCCUGGUACCAUUUAAACUUGCCAAAGAGAGGAAGCAAUUUAGGCUAAGUAACCAAAGUGAGAAGGCACAUCAUGCUGUUACAGUGCUUUCACCUCCAAGGGUGAGGGCUGAAUCAGACAGGCAUGGUGCUGAACUCUGAACUCCCCAUGGUAAAAGGGUGA